UACGUAGGUGGCAAGCGUUGUCCGGAUUUACUGGGCGUAAAGCGAACGCAGGCGGACUGUUAAGUAGAAAGUGAAAGGUUGGAGCUCAACUCUAACACUGCUUCCUAUACUGGCAGUCUUGAGUGGCGGAGAGGGAGAUGGAACGACACGUGUAGCGGUGAAAUGCGUUGAUAUGUGUCGGAACACCAAUGGCGAAAGCAAUCUCCUGGACGCAAACUGACGCUGAGGUUCGAAAGCCAAGGUAGCAAACAGG
rnacentral:rRNA from 1 species